rnacentral:rRNA from 1 species
AUUGAACGCUGGCGGCAGGCUUAACACAUGCAAGUCGAGCGGGGUGAUGGUGCUUGCACUAUCACUUAGCGGCGGACGGGUGAGUAAUGCUUAGGAAUCUGCCUAUUAGUGGGGGACAACAUCUCGAAAGGGAUGCUAAUACCGCAUACGUCCUACGGGAGAAAGCAGGGGAUCACUUGUGACCUUGCGCUAAUAGAUGAGCCUAAGUCGGAUUAGCUAGUUGGUGGGGUAAAGGCCUACCAAGGCGACGAUCUGUAGCGGGUCUGAGAGGAUGAUCCGCCACACCGGGACUGGAACACGGCCCAGACUCCUACGGGAGGCAGCAGGGGGGAAUAUUGGACAAUGGGGGGAACCCUGAUCCAGCCAUGCCGCGUGUGUGAAGAAGGCCUUAUGGUUGUAAAGCACUUUAAGCGAGGAGGAGGCUCUUUUGGUUAAUACCCAAGAUGAGUGGACGUUACUCGCAGAAUAAGCACCGGCUAACUCUGUGCCAGCAGCCGCGGUAA